GUUGCUGGUGGGGGCGAGACACGAGCGCACACGCGUUCCACCGGGCCCGACUCUCAGAAGUGAACAUCACCCUGGCCUUUCGUGGCUUCCUUUCAUUCUACUUCGAGCUUUCCCAUUCGCUAUUGAUUUCAUUAUUUCCGUUAGGCUCUCGGGAUGAAGAAAAAACCUCUAGGGAAGCAUUAUGCGUUUUAAUUGGCAUAGGAGACGUAUAUGCCAUAUUAGAGGUGAGGCUGGCAAAACUGCGGGGAGUUAAUAGACAGGAGCUCCUUCAGGGGGCUGUGCUUUCCUUCUAAAUGUCAGAAGAGCCCAGGGCCAAUUCAAUAGGUGUCAUAUAGUUACAGCUACACAUUUCUGUUAAACUCCUCCCCUCUGCUUCUCGGUAAGGAAGCAUCUGCCAUGAGCCACCUGCCCUGCUCCAUUCCAGAGCGCUGGGUGAGAAUUAGACAGAGCCUACUCUAUGGGGGUCUGACAAAGAUACUUUACUUGACCAUCUUUUCUGCAGGCUCCUGAGGCUUCUCCUUGACUGGUCUGGGAGCUUCCUUAUGAAAAGCCAGUUUUAGCAAAAAUCCUACUAAGCCUAACUGGAACCCCCGGCCCUUGACGUCUGGCCACCCUUGACAUUGGGUUCCUCAUCUCUUACCAUCCCCAGGUGAUGUGCGAUCACCUUGCCUUCAGCAAAGAAUCCUGUCUGGUUGGUUCGGCCAGAACCCGAUUUAUCCCCGAUGUUUCCUCUUUGUACCUUCCCAUCCUCUGACCCCCACCCCGCCCCUUGGCUAGAAGUCCCCGCUUGCCCACACUGUAUUCAGAGUUGAGCCCAGUCUCUCUCCCCCACAGCAGUGGACCCUACCCAGUCCCAAUGGUCCUGAAUAAAGUCUGCUUUACUAUAUUUAACACAUGCUGUUGAAUAUUCCCUUCCUGUAAUAGCUGGUGGUAGAGACUGACGAGGGUAAGAGGAUAGAGGGUUUGAGAAUAGAGCAUUAAAGGAGGAAUUAAGUCCUUACGGGAGGUGGGGAAUCGCAAGGUAAGGAUAGAUUCCCUUACCUUACAGGUAAGGGUAACAAGAUGGCACAAGAACAUCCAGGACAAGAGAACAGCAGUUGUCCUCAAGACUUCCUUCCCGGGAGUGGGCUUGCCGACCAUGUGCAGCCCACCCCACAUCUACAUUUCCACGCUCCCCAAAGGCUCCACAAAGAGACUGAAACGCGGUGAGUCCAGGUGGAAACCCAACACCGCCUGCCUCAAGUGGGGCCGCCCCAUGAUUCUGUAACCUCAGGAUGGAUGCCGCCACCAGCCGGUUAUCCAGGACGGAAAAACCAGGAAAACAUUCCGGAUUCCAUUUUUUUUUUGAAUCCUUCACCAAGUCCUUCUGAUUCUACCUCCUAAAAACGUCAAGGCUGUUACCAUCUUUCUCUGCACAGUCACUGCCCUGGUUCUGGCUUUGUGUCCCCCCCCCCCCCACAACCCCAACCUACUGUGGUGGUGUCUCCAUCGGGACCUCUGCCUCCACGCCUCACCCCUCCACGCCUCCAGAGUCCUCAGCAGGGCACAUGGGGCCCUUAGGAUAUAGCCCUCCCCCCCUCCACUGUGCUUCUUGCCACCUCACCCCAGGUGAGCAACCUGAACAACCUACACUUGACUGCCCGGCUCAUGCCCAGAGCCUCUGCACGUGACACGCCCCUUAGGAGCCCUGCCCGGCCUCAGCAACCCCCUCAACACCCACCCGCCUCCACCAGUUAGGGACUCCUCUAUCUUCUGUACUUCCAUCUCAGCCCUUGUCACGUGGUGUCCCCUGCUGGGUUUAGUGACUACUUUUAUUUUGAAAUACAGAUUCAUAGGAGCUUACACAGGAAUGUACAGGGAGGUCCUGCACCCAGCCUCCUCCAGGGCUAACAUCUCGUGUAACUAUAGCACAACAUCAACACCAGGAAAAAUUGACACUGGUAUGAUCCGGAGUUUACUCGGACUCUACCAGUUAAAUGUGCCCCCGUGCGUGUGUGUACACGUGCAGCUCCAGGCCGUGUUACCACAUGCGCUGUUCCCGAGUUGCCUUAAGAGUGCACAUCGGUCAUGCUCCUGCAUCCUCGGGGCCUGAUACACACGUAGGCACUCAGUAAAUGCCUGCUGCCUGCGUGCCUUAAUGAGCAAAUGAAGGGUGCCUGGUUGGCUCAAUUGGCAGCAUGUAACCCUUGAUCUUGGGGUUGUGAGCUGGAGCCCCGCGUUGGGAGUAGAGGUCACUUCAAACAAAACAAAACAAAAAACAAAACAAAACAAAACAAAACAAAACAAAACAAAACAAAACAAGAAAAAACAACCAUGCAUGCACCCAGCCAAGGCAGGAGUCUUGCAAGAACCUUGAGUGCCUGGAGAGGUGAGUUCAUGGUCACUGGAGCACAGAGAAGCAUGCGAAGGACACGGGGAAGGGCCUGGAAAGAUCAUCCAGGGCUAGAACACGAAGGCCUUUGUCAGGUUUGGGUUUGGACUGUAUUCUCCCAGCCAGAGAGACACAGGAGGGUCGUGAGCCUCGGCAGUCUGGCGGUACCAUCCGUGCUGACUGGGAGGACGGCUCGCCGGGAGGCAGGGCAACACCAGGAAGCUGGUCGGGUCCUCCAGCAGACAGCCAGCUGAGAGCCAGAAGGAGUAAGGUGGGAGAAGUUGAAGGAGGAGAGGGGGCAGGAAGGAGGUGGGCACCUGAGGAGACAGACGGGUCGAGUGAAGGUCCCAGCCUGGAUGAAAGAUGGAUCUUUGGGAGGGUUUUGAAGUGCCUUUGUGCAUCUGAGCAGAUGUCUCCAGUUGGAAGUUUGCGGCAUAAGCAAGAGAUCCUAAUUUGGGUAUCUGACUUUCAGGCAGGGAUUGGAGCCCCUGGCCCAGCUCCCUCGGUCAUGGUCAUGAGUGGAGGGUCUGGGAACCGCCCCAGUCUGGCUGAGCCCCUGCCAAUGCAGGUAAAAACACAGGGGUCUGUGGGGGUGGGGGACAGGAAGGACACUGCAAGCUGUAGAUCACUGUAAGCAUUUUGGACAAGAGUGCUAUCCUGGGCUUCUACAUCUCUCGAACCUUCUGCUGGCUCUCCUUCAUACUUCAUAAAAAUUCUUUAAAACCAGCUAUAACCACCACAAGAAAAAGCAACCCAAACAAAUGCUAAAAACGGCAGCCAGUGGCUCUCUGAGCCUCUCCACCUAUUUUUAUUUUGCUUGCACGGAGCUCCAUGCUAUAAAUAUGCUCAUGGCAUCCGCACAGGAACUCAAAUGCCAGCACAGCCGACGAAGCUGACUAACCACAAAAAUGCCAACUCACCAGACUGAGAAGAAAGAGCUUCUCUGAGCGAAAAUCAGUCAUUGUGGAAGAUGAGGCACAAAAGGAUUUGAAACCACAAUAAAAAUGAGCCUUAACCAGUUAUGAAGCAGUUGACAAGCAAACAAUCAGGCAUUCAACCAAGCCAACACCAUUCCUGAGCUCCAGUCUAGACUAAGAGGCACAGAAACGACUGGCCAAGCACUAAGGCAGGUGCGUGAGGAACUGAGAUGCCAGGUGGACUGUGCUGGAGUAAAGCCUCUCAGGAUUCCUGACACAGGGUUGUAACCCAGACUUCCUGCUCACAACCAAACUCAGCGCUGCAGGGACCCUGGGAGGCAGCGGGAUACAUCACACAAGAAUGUUCCACAAGAAAAGGCACGGCAGCUGAUUUUGCUCUAGAAGAAGGAAAACAGUUUUCACGGACUCUAGUAAAUGUCCUACGGUGAAGACAGGAGACCUCCCCACGGGACUGGUCUGGUAAGGAUUAGGCAAUUGUGAACAACGCCUGGGGGACAGUCAUUAUUACUCCAUAAGAUAACUGCAGGCGUGGUCUGCAGUCAGCCUUAUCUUGGGAAAUAACAUAGAAAUCAGAUCCCUUCCUUAUGUACAACGUGGGAAACAGCCUACAGAUGUCUACUUCGGGUGGGGGGAGGUGUGGAGGGGCCGACGCGCACAGAGGACAGGAGGGCAGACGUGGAUGUGUGUGUGCACACCCACGUGGAACGUGUGCUCAUGCCAGGUUCGAAGGCCUGCAUCCACCACAAGGGGAGAGGACGCUGGGAGAAACUGCCUGUCGUUGAGGUACGUUUCUGGGGAGUGGAGGGAGGUGCGGUGUCCCCGCCCGCCCUGCGUACAGGACGCACUCAGGUGUGUGAUGAGCUCAGGACACAGGCUGCCCAACCUCAGGGCUCCUCUCUAGCAUUUCCCAACACGGUCCCAAAUUCAAACCAGGCCAGAGAAGCAAGGAGCUUAACCACCGCAGGCCUCCACGUCAGGGGAAAACCACGGCAUCCGGCUGAUUGGCAUGAUGGCCAACCGCAUCCCCUCCUGGGUCACUUAAAAAGGAUUGCUCACUGUGAAGCUACUAUGAAGAUGUGCACUCUGGGGGAGGGCUGCAAAUCACGGUCUCACCCACACGGUCACCCCCCACUCCUCUUCAGCCCCUGGAGCAUCCUGGCAGGACAACACGGCUCCACGGGUGAAAUCCCUGAUCACAGUCCUCCUGAGAGAGGAGCUUCCUUUCUGCUCCGGACGGACACCCUCCUGUCUCUCAACCCCCUAGGGUCCGAGCCUGCUCCUGCCCCCACACCCCAGGGACCCUGCCUCAAUCUUCUCUGCACGUCGUCCCGCCACUCUUCAGACGUGCUCUCCUCAGGGACGCUCCACCCCUGCUCACCCCUCGUGGCUUUUUCCAUUUCCUCUGCUGGCUCUUGCUCUGCCAUGAGCUACACGUUUAUGGAAAGUUGACAAUAAGGUGUAUUCGGCACGAUUCUGUCCCUGGUUCUCCUCUGUCUCACUGUUGUUCCUUACAGGACAGGAUUCUUCUUGUGGGUAACUCCCAUAUCUACAUCACUGCACCAGAUUUCUUUCCCAAGCCUGAGACCUGUGUUUCCAACUGCCGGAAGGACUUCAUUACUGACCCCUCAAAGCUGAUGUGACCCAGAGCAAACUCAGCUUCCCUCCGUUAUAUUUGCUUCUUCCUUUCUUCUUUCGGCUUCCUAAUUUUGUGAGCAUCCUCCCAGGUAACCAGGAUCAAAGUUCUCGGGGCCUCCCCCUGGCCUUUUCCUUGGUCCCGUGGGCCCAACUUGUCUGCUCGGCGACAUCUCAACCUCCGGUCUCCCCACCCCUCCCGGCUAGACUUCUGCACCCCUUCCAAGUGAAUCUGCUGCCAAGCUUCUAAUAAAUGCAGCAGACCCUUCUUGAGAACUGUGUGUGCCCACAGCAGAUCCCACAUGACUCUCUGCAGGCCUCUUGCCCAGACCCCAGCUCCCUGCAGGCUGAUGUUGCACGGGGCACAGUCUACCGAGGCGCAUUGUGCUAGAGAAUCCAGGUCUGGGGAACAAGUCGGCUGGUGUUCACUCUGCCUGCCAGGCCUUUCGGGGCUGGAAUUUGGGACACAGCUCUGAAAGCCAAAGGUUGUAAGAGGCUUUCUCUGAGUGCAUUUGAACAGCUGGGCAAAAUAUCCUGGCUUUCAAAAAGAAAGGCAUUCUUCCUGUUUUCAGAAGUCACCAAACCUGUUUCCUGGUUGUUGAAGAAACAGGGUCACCUGGGCUUUGGCCAGGCUGAAACAGCCCAUCCCCUCAUCAGGUCACCUGCCACAUGGACCAGAGCUGCCACAGUGACACCUGCUCAAGACGCCCCAGCCUACGGAAGAUUUAAGACUGCAUUCGCACACAUCUCACUGGCCAAACAAACUGUGAGUGGAUUUCUCCAGAGUUGUAAGUUCUCUGACUCCAUUACGAAAGCAUCGUCUCACUUUGUAGGAAUGAUGAGGCAACAGAACAUGGCAGAAUGCAACCGAAUGUUUCCAGGUAGACUUUGGGAGGUAAAAUAAGAAGUUAGAUCCUGUGGAAUCUUUUUUAAUUUUGAAAAGUGGCAUUUCUCUUACAUUCACAGCCCCAACCUACAGUGUGGCCCUAAAGUGGGGUUUCCAACCUUUCUCCAUUUUCAAUGAGGCGGUUUCUCAACCCUGGCUCUGCUCUCCUCCCUGGGGCAUCUUGGCAAUGCCUCCCACCUCCUUCUAAUGCAGGGUGAGAACGGCAUGUGAAUCAUCCUAAAGCACACACAUGAAGUCGGACACCAGAGCACGUUCAUGUCACUAGGCAGGAGAGCAGCCCCAUGAACCUGUUCAACGGACACUUGCAACCCACUGUCUGGAUCACCUGGGGCAAGACCAGCUCAUCGGCAGCUCCUUUAGGCCCCUGAGCCGUUAAAUGCCCCGAGACCGCUUUAAAGUAAAUUCUCACCUCCCGUGAGGAUACAGUAUACAAUGGCUCCCGCCUCUGCCUAAAACACAGAAAGUUUUUGCUAUUUUCUCCUGGAGUUUUCCAAAUGUAUGUUUAGUAGAAGGUCAACUCCCUAAGAGUCUGCAUAGAAUGGUCUUAAAACAACAACAACAACAACCCUAAUAAUUUUCUGGAAAGGUUCUAAUUUUACAGAAGGGUACACUGGAUUUUGCAUCCUAUGACACAUGAGGUGUUUCCUGAUUUCUUGCACCAGGUUAAUGUUUUAUUCAGUAUUAAACGGACUUAAUAUUAUUUUGAACCAAUCUGUUCAUGGACGUUUAGAUCAUUUACAAUCUUUCAAUUCUAACAUGGCUAUCUCUGUUGUACAUCAUUUCACAUUAUAAAUGUAUCCUUAAGGUACAUUCCUAGAUGCGGGAUUCAAGGACAAGUGUGUGCGUGGUAUGUAGGGUUCUACAUUUUUCCAACCACUUCCUCAACAUAGUGCAACAGAAUACUGAAAACUGCAUGAGAGAUACAGAUACUUCACAGACGACUAUAAAGCAAGAGCCAGUGACUACCGUCAACUCCCCCUGGGAAUCCCUCAGUACGCCUGUUCUUUAGAACCCUCGUCGGCUUUCCAGAAGUACCUACUAUCUUUAUUUUGUGAUAUUCACUGAAUUAUAAGAAAACAUGCAUUUUGAAGAAUUAUAAACCAAAGGGGGGGAAAAUCCAGGAUGAGAUCUAAAUAUACAUAGAAUUUAACUGGGAAAUUUUUUUUUUUAUUUAUUUGAGAGAGAGAGAGAGCGAGCGUGCACGCACACAAGCAGGGGAGGGGCAGAGAGAGAGGGAGACACAGAAUCUGAAGCAGGCUUGAACUCACAAACGGUGAGAUCAUGACCUGAGCCGAAGUCAGAUGCUUAGCCACCCAGGUGCUCCUAACCGGGAAAUCAUCUUAAGGUUGGCUUAUCUCAAGCCAGUUUCUUGCCUUUAUCUUUGGCUGUGACAGCUGUUUAGAAGGCAUGACACAAAAAUAACAUUAGGGAGUCAGAGAAAGAGGACGGUGUAGGGACAAAAUGUAGUAUUUUCUAUUUAUCUGAAUAAAAAUUGUUUUAAUCCUUAUUUAUUUUGGAGACAGAACGAGAGAGACAGAGCAUGAGCCAAGGAGGGGCAGAGAGAGAUAGAG